rnacentral:rRNA from 1 species
CCUACGGGAGGCUGCAGUGGGGAAUAUUGGACAAUGGGGGGAACCCUGAUCCAGCCAUGCCGCGUGUGUGAAGAAGGCCCUCGGGUUGUAAAGCACUUUCAGUGAGGAAGAACGCCUGGUGGUUAAUACCCAUCAGGAAAGACAUCACUCACAGAAGAAGCGCCGGCUAACUCCGUGCCAGCAGCCGCGGUAAUACGGAGGGUGCGAGCGUUAAUCGGAAUUACUGGGCGUAAAGCGCGCGUAGGUGGCUUGAUAAGCCGGUUGUGAAAGCCCCGGGCUCAACCUGGGAACGGCAUCCGGAACUGUCAAGCUAGAGUGCAGGAGAGGAAGGUAGAAUUCCCGGUGUAGCGGUGAAAUGCGUAGAGAUCGGGAGGAAUACCAGUGGCGAAGGCGGCCUUCUGGACUGACACUGACACUGAGGUGCGAAAGCGUGGGUAGCAAACAGGAUUAGAUACCCCUGUAGUC